rnacentral:rRNA from 1 species
UACAGAGGUCUCAAGCGUUGUUCGGAUUCAUUGGGCGUAAAGCGCGCGCAGGCGGCCUGAAAAGUCUAUGGGUGAAAUGCCGGGGCUCAACCCCGUGCGUGCCCAGGAUACUGUCAGGCUGGAGACACGUAGAGGCAAGCGGAAUUCCGGGUGUAGCGGUGGAAUGCGUAGAGAUCCGGAAGAACACCCGUGGCUAAGGCGGCUCUCUAGUACGGUACUGACGCUGAGACGCGAAAGCGUGGGGAGCGAACAGG